rfam:Erinaceus europaeus unplaced genomic scaffold scaffold00063, whole genome shotgun sequence
AUCCUUUUGUAGUUCAUAAGCGUGAUGAUUGGGUUGUUAUGCAACUGUGUGAGAUGUGCCACCCAUAAACCUUGUUAUGUCAGCACAUUUCCCGUUUGACA